UGGGGAAUAUUGCGCAAUGGGGGAAACCCUGACGCAGCAACGCCGCGUGAAUGAUGAAGGCCUUCGGGUUGUAAAGUUCUGUCUUCUGGGACGAUAAUGACGGUACCAGAGGAGGAAGCCACGGCUAACUACGUGCCAGCAGCCGCGGUAAUACGUAGGUGGCAAGCGUUGUCCGGAUUUACUGGGCGUAAAGGAUGCGUAGGCGGACAUUUAAGUCAGAUGUGAAAUACCCGAGCUUAACUUGGGUGCUGCAUUUGAAACUGGGUGUCUAGAGUGCAGGAGAGGUAAGUGGAAUUCCUAGUGUAGCGGUGAAAUGCGUAGAUAUUAGGAGGAACACCGGUGGCGAAGGCGGCUUGCUGGACAAAUACUGACGCUGAGGUGCGAAAGCGUGGGGAGCAAACAGG
rnacentral:rRNA from 2 species